CCUUCGUGCGUGGCUCCCCUCUUUGAACGGUGGUGGGCGCGGCUUUGCUGCUCGCCUGCCCUUCGUAGGCGCGGCCUGUCCCUGGCCACCGUGUGCGUGGCACCGCCCUUCGGCUGCCUUGCGUGGGCGUGUCCGGGGCGGUGCUGUGCUGCCCGGGGAUUGGUGAACGCCGGGCUGGGCGGGGCCGGAAGAGCCGCGGCCGGGUGCCGUGCUCCCGCGCGGGGCGGGGCCGGUGCGGCCACGCGGUGCGAGGCGGAAGUCGGCGGCCGAGGGUCCGUGGGACGCGUGAGGAGUCGCAUGAAUCGCAGGUGCUCCUGUGUCUCCAUCCCCGUUUUGUUUCACGUAGGAAAUGAAAAUUAUUAAUAUCCUGUGCUUCACCUCAGUAGGCUGUGAGGAUUUAAGGAAGUCAAAAGAAACCUCAGCAAUGCAAAGAAAUGGAUGAGAGGCAGGAUCGAUAGUUCUUUGGUGUUACCAGACCCUGAACUUCAGUUAAACUGAUCUACUCAGCUCCACCACUGGGCAGCCCUCAACGUUUUCCUGCUGACAUUAGAAGCAUUGCUCCAAAGUCUGAGAGGGAAAAGCCAUCCAAAAUCCAGUGUCUGUGACUUGGGAGAGGCAGUCUGUUACAAAAGCCUUUGCUCUCCGCCUUAUAAACUGAAUGGGAGGAAAAAACGCAGAUGACUUUCUCACCCUGACUGCUGUGGAAAUGGUGAAUUUGCUCGGUAUUCAUCACAUGCAGCUGUCACCGGGCUACAGAUCAUCUGCACUCCGUGCUCUGAGGAGACAAUCUGCUGAGACAGGGGUUUUGAGGCGCUGUGCUGUGCAGAGGGACAAGCGAAGAUGGAACUGGUGGCUGUGCUGACUGUCUUCUGGGUGUAGGGUUUUUUAAUUUGAAGGCGCUUCAGGCAGGCUCGGGGCAUGGAGGCGCCUGCUGGCAAGCGGUCCGAGGCGAGUCAAGACUUGGCUGGGCCAGCGUUUAAGAGCAGAGAAUCGUGUGGCAGCCCAGUGAAGCGUUUACCGUUUGGCAGAUGAAGAGGAACCUGGUGAUUGCAGGAGUAUCCCAGUUGGCUGAUGUGGCUUCCGUCGAGGAUGGCUUCUCGUCCCCGGGCUGCUGGGAGCUGACUGGAAGGAGCAGGGAGCGCUGCCCCACGGCGCGUGAUACAGACGUCAGCUCGGGAGUGAUUUUUCCAAACUGGAAGCGCUUUGCCUUCCAGGAGGUUGUGUUUUAGGAGCUUCCCAGCAGAGCGAGUAUUAAGAAGAGGGUGUGCUUAGCAGUCGAAGCCACCAGCAACAAGACUUUCCACUCUCCUGAAAAAAAAAAGGGAAAAAGGUGAAUUUCCUUCCAAAGACUCCUGCACAGCACAUGCUCCAGAAAUGGGUGGUGUCGCUGGUCCUUACACUUUCUCAGUUGUAGCAGUUGGGACAUCAUCAAAAUGUGUUCCUUCCCCAUGCUUCGGUACAGCCAAAAGCAUUAGCAGCUGGGCCAGUCCUUUGUGGUAGCCUUAUGUAUCGCAGCACUGGGGGGGGUGUGUGUGUGUGUGUGUGAUUUUCUUUGGUGUUUGUUUGUUUGUUUGUUUUUGUUGUGUGUUUUUUUUUUUUUUCCCCAAAGCGCUGGCGAUUGUUGGCUGUGUUUUCUUGCAGCUGAACAGCUGGAGUUUGGCUAACUGUGGCAGAGCUGAGGGUCUGUGCUCCUUUUUGCAUUUGGGGGCUGAGGGUGGAUCCAGCUGCCCCCAGCUUCCUCUCUGAGAAGGAAUUUAGAGAGCAAGGGGAUCCAGUCUGAACCUCACGACUUGGCAGGAGGGUCUUUCCGGACUCCUUGUUUAACAAGAAGUUGAAACCAUGUGGUGGGUUUCUUCCCUCACUGCCUUGCUGUCAUGAUUGAAACUUGAAAAAAGUUAAAAUGUUAUAAAUUAGAA